rnacentral:lncRNA from 1 species
GCUGAGGUUACAGGAAUCUGCCACUGCCUUGAGUUCAUUUAGUGCUAGGGCUUGAACUCAAAGCUUUCUGCAUGUCAGGCCAGCUGCAAAGCAACUGAACUAAAUCUGCAGCUAUGAAACUUGCAUUUUAAGAAUCGAAUUUUAGAUGAACAUCAAAAACGAUAGAAAUUUUAGAAUGACAGAUCACUAAGCAAAAAAAAAAAAAAAAAAAACCAACCAACCAAACAAACAAACAAAAACCAAACAAGAAAGAAAAGAAAAAAAAGAGCCAAAUUUUAUUUAAUAUGCAGAAGCUCCUAUAAGCAUGCUAUAAACCUGAUCCAUGACUGGACAAAGACAAAGAUGUCUUUGAUUUCCCAAAUACAGAUGCAACCUAAUUGAAAGAAGGUCAAAAAUCUGUGAAUUUCAAGGGUAGUCUAGUGCUUAACAUUUUGUUUGUGGUAGUUAUAUGAGCUCUUCAAGUACUUCCUACUAGUUAUAAAAACUCAGCGUAGUAAGAAGAAAAUUAAAGUGUAUUAAAUAAUCGUCAUCUUCUACAGUUUUAAAGAAUCUGCAGAGCUAGCACAGAGCUUUCUGGCUCAGAGCUCCUAAUGUGGCUGCAUAAUACCCACAAUUCAUUGCUCUUCUCCUUCCAGCCCGUUUACUCUUCCCAAAGAAAUUGAUGUCACAGGUUGACUUCUUUGGCAGCCCUUUCUCCCAGGUUUGCAGAAAUGAUGUUCCAUGUCAGACAUUUCUCUUUAGCUUGGCAUUCUUCCUUCCUCGCUGUGAAGUUUUCUCUUCCUUUCUACUAUUGUGUCUGCAAAGGUUUCAGAGAGGAGUUAAGGAGUCAGUGAUGGUAGCAAGGAAAUUCGUAGGGAGACUUGACCACAUUCUCCUUCAUAUCCUCAUUAUUACUGCUGUGGGCCCAUUUGAUUGCUGGUGAAUACGAGUGCCAAUGUGUCUCCCGAUAUUCUUGUCUACUGGCUUUCUGUGAAAGGAAAGUGGUGUGGCCUCAAUUUUUUUUCUUUCCUUCUUUCUUUUUUCUUUUUUCCCAUCAAUUAUCAUUGUGUAAAUACUCCCAAUGUGGUUGGCUUUAGUAGUUUACCAUCUGGGUUAUAAGAUUCCUUAAAAUUUAACAGUUGCCUUUUAUGAGCUGGUGAUGAGUUGAGUCUAGCACAUCAUUAAUAAUACUUUUUCCAUGCUAAUGUGAAAAAUUAUUCCUUGAGACUAGCGGGAUAAAGCUAGUAAAUUUCUGUUUUGUUACCUCACCUUGACUAUGUCCCUGACUACUUGUCCUCUUCCCCUCCCUCCUCCUCCUCCUCCUCCUCCUCCUCCUCCUCCUCCUCCUCCUCCUCCUCCUCCUCCUCCUCCUCUUCCUUCUUCUUCUUUGUGUUUUGAAUGGGUCAGAGUUAGCUUUGUGGAUUUGUAAGUUUUGGCAGUGUCCUUGUUUCUGAUUUUAUGUCGUCAGCUCGGGAUGAUGACAGAGCCAAUCCCGCUGUCAGCGCUAGCCCUGAGGGUGGAAUGAGGAGAACUGACUGUAAUAUGCUGGAAGAGAGUCUUUCCAGGCGACCACACCUUGUUGCUCAUUAGUCACGAGUUCCAGAGUCUUUGUGGAGGGAAGGAGCAGUGAAUUUUUGAUUAUUAUUAUUUUAUUCAUUUUCACUCUUUUGGUCCUGGCCUAAAUAAAGCGCUGUUGGUAGCGUGCUCAGUUAGGAUGCACGAGGUUCUGAGUUUGAUCUAGUAUUCCCGAUCCUGGGUGUGAUGGCACACUGCUGUAACCAGUGGUCAGGAUAAGGAGGCGGGAAGAGCAGAGUUCAAAGUUAUCCACAGAUGUAUUUUUUGGUGUAUUUUUAAUAAUGAUUUUUCAACCAUCCUUUUAGUCAUUGUUUUCUGUGGAUAGAGAGCAUGUUGGCUCAUAGACAGCUUUUACUCUCAUUGGAAAGCUGUGGCCAUUCCACCAGCAUUUGAUUCAUGGAGAAUUUUAUUUUAUUUCAUUUUAUUUUAAAUGUAUUGACAAGGCCAAUGUUAAGACUUAAUCUUUUUUAAAUAGCACUUGAAGAAGCAUUUCUGCCAUCUGCGUAAUUGAGAAGGAUUUGAAUACGGCUCCUCUAGUACUUUUGUACACUUUCAGUUUGCCAGUGGUAAUAAAGCCUUGCCAAGAGCCACAGAAUACCAUGCUGUGCCUCUCGGCCUCAGGUCUAAAAUGCAAAUAGCCUGCCUGGGAUUUGUACAGUCGCUGUUGUGUCCAGAAAUCACGCUUUCUGAAUUGUUUUAUGCUGCCUUCUCAUUAAAAAUAUACAUCCCCAUUAAAUCCUUUUCUAUAUGCAACUUCAUUGCACUUGAGUUCUUCCCUCUACCAUGAGUCAUUAGAAAACAUCCAAUAAAAUUUCCAAAGCUACCAAUCAUCCACUCUGUCCUGCUCACAGAAACUGUUAGCAGACUGGUGUUUACUCAUGAAUGUGGUUCUGAAGUUGUCCCUGCAGUGAGCAUGGUGGCUUCUGUGAAUGUGGCUCCUAGUGUCUGAUAUGUCAGGAUGUCAUGUUUGCUUGGUGCUUCUCAGCAGCUGGCUUAGAGCAGAUGCUUAAAUCACAGACUUGCAUACAUAUUAUUCUAGCUUAUCAGAGUCGAAGUUAAAAUGUCUUCACGUGAUCCACAGCUGUUUAAAUUACCCAGCAUCAACACUGGGUACGGUGGAAUCGUAGCAAGUGGAUAGCAAGACGGCAGUAGUUCAUCUUUCCUCUCUCAGUGCAUACCAAAGAGUUUGCUAAUCACGAUGGAAAUGUACAGUGUGGCUAAUAUCCUUUUCAUCCUGUCCCCAGGCUUGAUCUUCAAAUAAUAAAAAGGAUGGUGGAAUCCAGAGUUUCUUCCAUCUUGAACUCAGUAGCUCUAGAUGCUUAGAAAGCCACAUGGGGUGAGAAUGAACUAGGCCCCUGAAUCUGGGCUGUGCUAACUCCCUUCAGGAUAGCUACCUGUUCUGCCUAUGUAGAAUCAGAAAAAGGCAAAUCUUGGCUCUACCAUUCUCUCAUGUGAUCUAGGAUUUCUCCUUUGUGAAUUUCAAUAAUAUCUUCCACGAAGUAGAACUAGUACCAGUUGAUAUAUAUUUUCUGAGACUUAUUUUUGCAGGGUGGGGUUAUUUUGCUCAGUUAAGAAAGUUCUUGCCUAGCAUUCACGAGUCCUGAAUUUGACCCCACACUCCAUGAAACAGACAUGGCAUUUGUCUGGCCUCUCAGCACUGCAGAGGUAGAGACAAUAAAAUCAGAAAUUCAAAGCAACACAGUACGUUUGAGGCUAGCCUGGGAUAUAUAUGAUCCCAUAAAAAUUUAUG